GCUAGUAAUCGCGCAUCAGCCACGGCGCGGUGAAUACGUUCCCGGGCCUUGUACACACCGCCCGUCAAGCCAUGGGAGCCGGGGGUACCUGAAGUGCGUAACCGCGAGGAGCGCCCUAGGGUAAAACUGGUGACUGGGGCUAAGUCGUAACAAGGUAGC
rnacentral:rRNA from 1 species